rnacentral:rRNA from 1 species
UACAGAGGGUGCAAGCGUUGUUCGGAAUUACUGGGCGUAAAGCGCGUGUAGGCGGCGGCGUAAGUCGAAUGUGAAAUCCCUUGGCUUAACCAAGGAAGUGCAUCCGAUACUGCGUCGCUUGAGUGCCGGAGGGGAUGGCGGAAUUCCCCAAGUAGAGGUGAAAUUCGUAGAUAUGGGGAGGAACACCGGUGGCGAAGGCGGCCACCUGGACGGUAACUGACGCUGAGACGCGAAAGCGUGGGGAGCAAACAGG